rnacentral:ncRNA from 1 species
AACAAAGCAAGGAAACCAAGGAGUAGGUUAGCUUAAAUUUAGAGAGAGUUAGUGUUUGGUGGAAACUAAUAAUUUAAAUAAUUGAAGGUAGUGGUGGAGCAUAACUUCUGAGUUUAGUAAGAAGCUACGUUUGUUACGUUAUAACUGAAUAAGAUAAUAUUUUAUAUUAUAAAUUAAGGUGGUACCACGAGUAAAUCGUCCUUUGG